ensembl:lncRNA
UUUGCGACCAGAAUUGUGGAAAGAAUCAAGUUCAUGAGCCGGGGAUUUAGCUCAGUGGUGCCACCGCCUGCCUUGAAAGCACAAGGUCCCAAGUUCAAUCCCCAGUACAAAAAAAAAAAAUCAAGUUCAUGAACCAAGGUACCACUGCAAAAGUAUCUUAAAUGCUACAUAUAUUUCAAAUGAGAAUGAUUUCCAGGAAGUUUUAUCAUUAUAUUAUCUUCUUACCAAAAACAAUAUUUGUUUAUAGAUGGAGCAUAAGGUUGACCUAAAGGUGAAAGGCAGUGCUUUCCGUUCAGAUGCCCAUCUGUUGUUCCACUGGACAACAUACAUCAUAAACCGGCACAACUAGCUAUCAAGAAACCCAGGUCUUUUGUUCCUGGGCAUCUAAAGCCUUCUCAGCACAGGCCUAUGAACAUUUCCUUCUUUCGUCAUCACCAUUUAUAGCAUUCUUCGAAGUUAGCCAGUUCAAGUAACAACACAAGAAAUUACAAUGCAUUUGCCCAUGCUGCUUUAUUGCUCAAAAUAUGUCUAUAUACAACAGGUGCAGAGUUUCCAACUCUUACAAUAGCUCCUUUUUACAUCAAAGAAUAAUAUUUCUUCAAAACUUCCAAAGAUGCAUAGAUUAAACAGCAAGCUGCCUUUUGUAAUACUUCAAACAUACCCACUUUUAAAAUGUUAUAUCCUAAUUAUGUAAUGCAGGAUAUGUAGAACAGCAAGUAAACACAAUAAGCAACUCCUGUACUUAACAGUAAAUAAACUAUUAUGAAAGGUACUCUAACAUUCUUAAAUCUUUUCAAUUAUAGGAGAUGAGUGGUUUUCCUUUUUUUUUUUUUUAAGACAGGGUCUUGCUGUGUAGUUCAGGCUGGUCUUCAACUAUGUAGCCCAGGCUGGCCUUGAACUCAGCAAUCUUCCUGCCUAAGCCUCUUGAAUGUUGGGGUUACAGGCAUGCACUACCACACCCAGUGAGAUGAGUGGUUUUAAACUUAGUGCCAACACUAGUAUAGCUGUUUAAAGAUUUAUGAAGACAUAUUGCUAGAAUACAUUUUUUUACCCCCUGGAUGGGAAAAAUAUAUAUAUUUUUUUGCUAGGCUAUGGAUCGGACCUGGGCCCUCAAGUAUGCCACACUCCCAAAUCAAAAAAUAUUUUGAUGAUAUGGCAUAUUGUCAUAACCAAGGGACAUAAAACAUUUUAAAAAUAGUCACCAUAACUAUUCUCACUUUAAAGGAGUUUAAAAGCCUGAACUCCGAGAGAAAUUUCCCAAGUUUGGUUUUCCAGUACUAUCUAUUUUAAUAUGCCUUAGAGUAAUAGGAACAAAGUUUAAAGAAAUUCUUUUUUGUUUUUUUUUUGGAACCUGGGAUUGAACUCGGGUCCUUGGCGCUUGCACAGCAGGCGGCGAAAGCACUAAGCUAAAUCCCCAGCCCAGUUUAGAGAAAUUCUGACCUUAUAUAUUUGGUAGGCCUGGUAGCAGUAAGUGGCAAGGGACAAUUAUAUAUGAGAUAUAUCUCUUGGGCCGGGGAUUUAGCUCAGUGGUUCUGGCGCCUGCCUCGCAAGCGCAAGGUCCCGAGUUUGAUCCCUGGUACCAAAAAAAAAAAAAGAAAAUUAGAUAUAUCUCACUUCUUGCAUCUGAGUGAAAACCAAAUAUCAAAAGGACAAAUCUUACUCAACACUGAAGCACUGAAGUAACAAUUCAUUCUGUAUGGUAUGUGUAGUGAAGUCCCACAAAGUAUAUAAAGUUAAAAUAAUUUUGAAAAAAUAAUUUUCAAUUAUAGAACAUGAAAACUGGAAGGAGCCUAAUGAAAAUCAUGUAGUCUUACCCUGAAUUUUCUUCUAUUCAGGCUUCUUUCAGAAAUCAUGAAUUCAAUUCAUACAUUACUGUCAUAAUUACUCGCUUUUACCUGGUUUUUUGCUUUUUGCAGUACUAAGUAUUGAACCCAGGUGUUGUGUGUGCUUGGCAAGUGCUCUAAAAAAGCUACAUGUCCAGGCCUUUGAAAAAUUUGUUUUUGGGUACUGGGGAUCAAACUCGGGACCUUGCACUUUCGAGGCAGGCAGCAGAACCACUGAGCUAAAUCCCUGGCCCUGAAAAAUUUGUUUUUGAGAGUGUCUUGCUAAAUUGCCCAGACUGGCCUGGAGCCUGGAACCUGCCUGCCUCACGCUGGGAUGAUAGGUGUGUGCCACCACACCCUGCUCUUAUCUUUUAAAAUGGGAAAAACUUUUUGUUCACCUGGGAUCAAAACCUUUAGGAAAGAAAUUGUACAGUCUGACCAAACCAUCAAGAAUAAAACUGGCUAUUAAAAAUGAAGCUUAACAUAACAGAAUAGAGAAACAAUACAUAUAUAUUAGUACUCUCAACUCUUCCUAUAAAAUGGAGUCUCUCUUGCUGCUACGGUCCUUUCUGGUUGAUCAAUACUAGUACCAUCAGAACAGUUAGUUACCUAGUAACUUAAAAUCCUAAAACAUCUGAAAUAUGUGCACAUUAACCCUAUCCACUUCCAAGACACUGGCUUGUUUUUUUCUGACAGGGUCUUGCUAUGUUGCCCAGGCUUGGCCUCUAUAUCAGAGGCUCAAGCACUCCUCUUGCCCCAGCCUCUGUGGGAGUAGCUGCAGCUAUAGGUGUGUGCCAUCAUACUGGGCUCAAAAUACUAGUUUUAAGACUUCAAACUUAAUCCACAUAAACCUUAUCAGACAAACCCUAUAUCUAGGUAUUUUACAUACUGUACACUGGUAUUUCAUUCUUUCCCACUCUUUCUGAAACUCUGCACCUUUUUGAUUAUUGUAGCCAUAGCAGCUUAUUUAUUUAUUCAACAUGCAUACUGUCUUUUGUUUUCAAACAUGCUUGGGGACUAAAGCAACUAAGAAAGAGAUUAAAGGGUGAGCACUCUUAUGCCCAUUUAUUCCUUAGUUUGAAUGUCUUGUGAUUGCCCGUUUAUUUACUUCCCAUUUGCAAAGGAAGAUAAUCUUUAAUUAGAAAAUGAAAAAUAAUAAAUUCAAGCUAUUAGUUUAUAUUGCUUCAUUAAUAAAUGCAUAUAUAAAAUUACUAGUAACUAACACUAGAAAUUUGCAAUCAUGCAAUAGAAUAUUAGUAUACUAUCAUCAAAUUUAUGUGACCCGCCACUAUUGCUUGAACUUUCAACUGGACCCAGUCUUAAUAAACAUGCAGAGUAAAUCCCGUGAUUCAGAGGAAUUAUGGAAAAUAGUAACACAUGCAAACUUUCAACUGGAAGUUUGAGUUAAUAACUGCUUAGAAAUGCAGGCAGGUAGGGGCCGGGGAUUUAGCUCAGUGGUUUCGCCACCUGCUGUGCAAGUGCAAGGACCUGAGUUCGAUCCCCGGUACCAGAAAAAAAAAAAAGAAAUGCAGGCAGGUGCUUUACAUCUAUCACAAUGCUGUUUAAGAACAGAGGCACAAGUCACACAAAAAGGUUAAAAGUAGGACCACUGUUCAAUAAUAAAAGGGUCAUAUUCAAAUCCUGGCCCUUUUAGGUAAAUAAUGAUGUAAAAAACUUGGGUAAAGAAAGAAUUGAAAGAGGCAAAGGAACAAUUGUGGAAUAGUAAGUUUUCUGGGCCAUUUAUUGACAGCUAUCUAAGAGCAUGGGUGGCAGGGGGAUGGUGAAGACGUUCUUAGGCAGAAUGGUUGCUUCUCUAACUCACACUAAUAAGCAGCCCCUGCACAGCUCCCUGGGGAAAGGAGUUGAUGGGCAGAGCUAGUACAAUGUAAACUCAAGCAUCCAUGCCCUGAAGUUUAGCAUAACCUUCUGCUUUAAAACCAUUGGCUGGGGCCGUGGAUUUAGCUCAGUGGUUCCAGCGCCUGCCUUGCAAGCACAAGGUCCUGAGUUCGAUCCCCAGUACCAAAAAAUAAAUAAAUAAAAAUAAAACCAUUGGCUAAGGGAUCCUUCCAAAAUGAUAUAAUUAACAGCCAGGCAAUGUUAUGAAUAAACUAGAAGCAACUUGCUGGCACCAACAGCACCAUGAGAAUGUAAACUUGAGGCCAAGGGUCUCUUCAUAGUUUGCAUAUCACAAGUACAUAAACAAGAGACCACAAGAACUUUGAAAAGUAACCACGUAUGUUCACACUACAGACCCUUGUAGCAUAGUUUAGUAUUUUAGAACUAUUAAUAUGCUUUUUAAGAGUAAUCUUUAAUUGUCUGAAGUAACUGAACAUCACUGUAAUAAGUAGCCAUGUCUUCGUGAUCAUGCAAAUGUCUGAAUAUUGCUUGGUUGUUCUGUGUCUAACACUAACACAAAAGGACAUUAAAGAGCCAUAAUCAACUUAAUGUAGCCUUUUCCUUGUCCAUUGAAGCUGCCAUAUAUAAUAAUAACUAAAUAUUCAAGAGAUUCAUAGAUCUGUAGCACUUUAGUUUCUUUUCCUCCCUGGAAAAACAAAGGAACAAAUGCAAUCUUUUCAAGGGAUCUUCAAAGUGCUAAAUGGCCAAGAUGGACAUGAGGUGAAAAGGAAUAAAUUGGCCAGUUCCACUAUUAUAUUCUCAGGCUGUGUGAUUCCUCAGGUCAAGUAAAAAGUCUGCCAAGUUCUUAUCAAAAGAAGCAGUCACAGGCCAUAGGCUUCAUUGUAUCUAUAUUAGACAAGGUUUUUAAGGUUUUUUUAAAAAAACUAAACAGUAUAGUCUGGCUGUUUCCCUCAAUCCUUUAGCUUCUUAUCCUUCCUUAUUUCUUUUGAGACAGUGUCUUACUUUGUAGCCCAGACUGCCCUAGAACUUGUGGCAGUCCUCUUGCCUCAACCUCCCAAGUGCUAGGACUAUAGGCAUGCACCACCAUGCCCAGCAACAGUUUCUUACCUUUAAAACCUAACUUCUUUCAUCAUAACCAGGAGGAAAAGCCAGCUAUCCAAAUUCUUGGGAUUUUUUAAAAUCCUAAUUAAAACAACAUUCUUGGGGCCAGGGAUUUAUUUAGCUCAGUGGUUCCAGCGCCUGCCGAGCAAGCACAAGGUCCCAAAUUUGAUCCCCGGUACCAAAAAAAAAAAAAAAAAUUCUUCCUUUUUAAAAAUGUAUCCAGCAAGCCAAAAGAGAUAGGUAACAAAGCAGAAAAGAUCCCAUUCUAUACAGUAAAAGCCUGCUGCCAACCAGAACAACUUAAGCAAAACCUCCACGUGUUGGCUUCUGAGGCUGUAGGAGUACAUUUGUUUCUAGACUAAGCACUAGAAAGACUUCAACAGCUCUAAACCUUUGCUUUGGAAAAUAAAUAGUUUUUAAACUUUAAAAUAUACAAAAGUUGGUAUUUCUUACACAGGUAUAUUCAUAUACAUUUGUACUGUUUUAAAAGAAUGUACCUUUUAUAUGCUCUUUACCUACAUUUUUUUCCUUCCCCACCAACUCAAGUAGUAAUCACUUAUCCUACUGUACAAGUUUGCAAAUACAAUUCACUAUACAUGCAAAAUUGUUAUUGCUACUAAAAUUCUAUCUCUUUAAAUUAUUAGUUCAUUUUAUGGCUUUUUUUUUUUGCAACAGGAAAUAUCCUUUCCUAUAUACUUUGCAUUCAUUACUUUCAGAGUUUUUAAAAAUGCUUUUCAGAAAUGGAUUCUCCCAGGCACUAGCUACUUGAGGCAAGAAUAAAACUAUUGUAAGCAUACUAUGAGAACCUAAACCUGGGUCCCUAGAGAUCUGCUACCAGAAUCUACUUGUUUGCUUGUCCAUGACACACCACAUGAAAAUAGUUUACAUUUUCUAUCAUAUUGAUGUAGAAUGUGUCAAUUUUGGGCUCUCAAUACUGAGAUCUAAGAAGCAACUGCCACUUCCAAGUUCUCAAGGCAGCUUUUAGAGGUAGAAUUCCUUUUUACAGAAAAACAUCUUUUGUUUCAGAACAAAACAACUGUUUUACUUCUGUAAAGUAGAAAAAAGUGAAAACUGUGAGAAACUUACUAUAACCAAGGCAAAGAAGCAACUUAUAACAUGGCAACUGAGGAAGGCUUCAUUUAGCUACAUUUCCAAUUCUCAUAAAAGGUCUGGAAUCCCAUCAAUACACAACUGAGCAGAUUUGGAAAUAUCUAGGAUUCUUCAAACUACUGACAAUGUUGUUCCAUUAAACCAUGUACUGUAGACAGGAAAUGUCAAUGGCCUAGAGAUUAGAUAAGCACUUACCGAAGUAAUUAACAACAGCAUCUCAGUAAGACAUGCAAAAUGUAAAGUAAUUUCUGGAUGCAAAAGGAGCAGGAAAAAUGAACCCAAGUAAUACAAGGUAAAGAUUUAUAAGAACAACGUCACCUCAAACCAAGACAGCAAUGUAGAAUUAUGAAAUAACUCAUUUUAAUGUGAGGCUUCAUAAGACACAAAAGCAGCUAUCUAGCUUAUAUAUCCUCAAAGUUGUAGAUUGUGAACUAAACUUUCUGGGUUUUUUGGCCUUAAUGUCCUUUCCCUAGGAAGAAUAUCAGAUUCAAAUAUUUAUGAAAAAAGGAAAUCUAGAUUUUCCACUCAUUUUACACUAUUGGUUAUUAUCAAUAAUUCAUCCUGAAUAUUGAAAUUAUUUCUAGGCUCAUGCACUAACCCCUAACAUGGCACUACAAUAUGCUACCAAGCACUAAUGCUUACAAAACUAUACACAUCUCAAAAUGGAAGACAUUGGUGAUUUUGUUGUUCUUAAACAACUUGUAACAAUUGUCCACAAGUAUUAAAAUAUACAUAUAUAUAUAUAUUUCUAUUGCACAUAUCCCAUUUUUGUUUAAAAUUUCCAAAGGAAAAACUCCCAGAUAACAUAAAUGAGCAAAUAAAGGAGGCACAGUUACAGAUUGAGGCAUAGUUCUAAAAUUAUAGUUUUUGUUAUUAAUAUGGUGACCAAAAUAGACCAGAAAAAAAUGCAAAAUAAGUAAAUACAGGGCAACUACAACUGGAAUGUACCCAUAUGGUCAAAUGCCACCUGGUGUCCACCCUGGAAGAUGUGGGAACAAUGUCACUGAAAGACAGCACUGCACACUGGUUCCCUGAACUGUAGGCUGAAAAAUAUAAAGCAUUUGCAGGUGGAUCUGAUAGCUGUUCAAAUGAGGUCAAAUCUGGUUUCCGUAGCAUUUAUAUUCCCUGCCCAGUGACACUGACUCAAAGUUACCAAAAGGUCACAGAGAUGAUAAAUAACAGAAAAUUGGAAGGUCCAACCUCUCCAUGAUACAUUCUCAACAUAUCAGUGGGACCCAUGUAUGGAGUUCCCUUUUUUGAUCUCCCAGUAGCGGGGAUCAAACCCAGGCCCUGCACAUGCUAGGCACAUCCUCUUAUCACUGAGCUAUAUACCUGAUCCCCAGUCCCCCCUCACCUUUUUUUUCGGUACCAGGGAUCAAACUCAGGACCUUGUGCUUGCAAGGAAGGCGUGGUGCCACUGAGGUAAAUCCCCAGCCCUCUAGUCCCCUUUUCUAAAUUUUAUUUUGAGACACAGUUUAAGCGGCCCAAGCUGGCCUGGAACUUGUGAUCCUCCUGCCUCAGCCUCCUAAAGAGCUGGGAUUACUGGCAUGUGCCACCACCCAUAGCUCCAUUCUGUCUCUUAACAGUUUUUAAAUACUAAUGGAAAAUAUCAGGAAGUAGCUAGGGGGUUACUUAAGAGAAAAAUUUAAGUUACCUUUAGUCAGUAUUAUUAUGCUUUACCACUAAAUGCCCUCAAUUAAAAGAAGUUAUAUGUUAACUGUACUAUGUUUUAUGAAAAAAGUUUUUUCCCCCAUUCAUACGGGUUGACUAAUCUGGCUAAAAUUCUGGUAAAUCUACCUAAAAUUCCCUGCAUCACAGCACCUACAGCCCUGGGCAACCAUUCCAGAAAAGAGAAAUGAUCUAGUAAGUUUAAAAUUCUUUCUCUAGUCACAAGGAAUCAAAAAUAAACAUUUUACUCUUCUUAUGUAAAGACCUGACAUCUUACACAAUAGUCCUCUGUUGAUCUGGAGGGACAGGGUUCUAUGAUAGUGUGUUCAUCAUAGUUAAUUGAGAAGGGAAAAUAAAGUAGACCAGUAUUUCUUAUUGGAACUAUUUUUUCUGUUUGUUCUGGGGGGGUUUUUUUGGUACCAGAGAUCAAACUCAGGACCUCGUGCUUGCCAGGCAGGCGCUGUGCCACUGAGCUAAAUCCCUGGCCCUGGAACUAUUUUUCUUGAAGUUCUUUUCAGAUCCUAAAUUUCUUCUAAAUCUAUAAUGACUAACCACAGAAUUGGGAACAUUACUUCAGAGGCUCACUCUCUGAUGAGAAAGAUCAGUUGUGAGUAGGGAUGUUUACCUGAGUCCUAGCCUUUUCAGCCUAACAUUAUUCCUACUGGCUAGAAAAACAGAUCAAACGUUAAGUGCCCAUCCUGGGUCAAAGGAAAAGUUAGUUCACAAAAAAAUGGAACUAUAUAAUGUAAAAUGUCAAAACACAGAUGAUGCUACAUAAGACAUUUGCUUCUUUUUCUUAGGAAGGUAUACAGAAACUUUUCUCAUUUUAUCCACAGCUCCAUGUCCAGAGUUGACGGCAGUUGUACAAAAGGGCCCAUCACAUCUUUUGAAGUGAACUACUUACAGCUCUUUUCUUCUGGCCUUCACCAUAAGGAAAACAAAGUCUCAUGUGCUAUAUAUGACUUCACAGAGGGAUGAAGAAAUUUGUAAUACAGUAGCUACUCAUCUUAGGGAAGUGAGUAGGGUUCCAUCACUGGACUCAAGAUGUGUUGUUUUAUCAUUCUUUCAACUAAGUGAAAAUAUACAUUCACAGGAUUAGCUGCUGUGCAAGCUGGUCCUUCCUUAGAAGAAUGAAAAGAAAAAUUUUUAAAUUAAAGUUCCAGGGCUGGGGAUUUAGCUCAGUGGUUCUGCCCCCUGCCUCACAAGCACAAGGUCGAGUUCAAUCCCUGGUACCAAAAAGAAAAAAAAAAAUUAAAGUUCCAAAACUUCUAAAAAAGAAGUCAACAUCUUCCUUCUCUAGGAGAAAAAAAAAUUCUAUUGUCCAAAAAUGUGGGUUUACAUGUGUAAAAAUGUGUAUCUACAGAAACUGAUGGUUUAUUCACAUAUGAAAUAAACUUUAAUAUCAUUAUGCUUCUUUAUAAUACCAAAGUUUAACUGCAAAAGUGGACUUUUUUCUCCUCCUAUAAACCUAUGUCAGGAUGAGCCAAGAUUUCCAGAUAUAUGUAACAUUUUAACAUCGCUUUCAUUUCAAAUCAGAACAAAUAUUUAGAAGUUACUUCUGUGGUCUUAAUGUGCUUCUCAUAUAGUGGACCGAAACUGGAAGACAUUUUUAAGAACCCCUGAAGUCAUCCAUACUUGCUGCUUAUGCAUUCUUCUUAUUUGGAACAAAAGUAAAAGAAUUCACAAAUAUAAUGACCUAAGCACCUGUUUAAAACUAAACAUAUAUGCCUUCAGCUUGCACAAUAAUUUCUUUAUAAUUAAGCAAACCACAGCAGAAGGCCCACAUCAGUUGGUUUUUUUUUUUCCUGGAGAAGUCACAGGAUAACUGCAUCCGAAGGACAUCUCUAUGUUGAAGCUGAGAGGUGGAACAGAAGAAUGUCAUCAUUUUCAUUCCAAAUCAUGGAGGUGAUGUGUAGAAAGAUAUCUAUAUUUCAAGACAGGGAAACAGGGAUAAUUAUAAGAACUACAGCUCUAGAAGACAACACAAAAAUACCUGGAAAUAAAAAUAAAAACAGGAAGAUUAGACCAGGUAUUUCUGCAUGAGCUUACUUUAACA